CAGCGCCCCGAGUGGCAACCGCGUUUAUUGGGCCUAAAGCGUUCGUAGCCGGUUAGGUAAAUCUCUUGUGAAAUUGUCAAGUUCAACUUGACAACGUGCAGGAGACACUACUUAACUAGGGACCGGGAGGAGUCAGAAGUAUUCCAAGGGGAGCGGUAAAAUGUUAUAAUCCUUGGAAGACUACCUGUGGCGAAGGCGUCUGACCAGAACGGAUCCGACGGUGAGGGACGAAAGCUAGGGGAGCAAAACGGAUUAGAUACCCGAGUAGUCC
rnacentral:rRNA from 1 species